rnacentral:lncRNA from 1 species
AUUGGUUCAAUUGAAGGAGGCUAGUGUUAAUUAUGAAGCAACGAAACGAAAGCAUGGACCAAAAAGUACGAGUUAAAUACAAUUUAGGCACCAAAAUAAUUAAAUUGUAGGAGUACCAGUUAUUGACAAUAAUAGUACCAAUUAGUACAAAGAAGGCAUUAUAUAAUAAAGCAUGUAUGCGUUUGGGUAAAUGAAGUUGAAGCACUAAUUAAGAUCCGAAACGAGUUUCAUCUUCUGGCGAUGAAUGAAUUCACCAGCUUUCUUGUUAAUUUGUGGAUCAGCUGCACCCCAUCUUUCUUUGUCAUCAUAAUCACUAAUAUGCCACAUUUUACUUCCACUUUCAAAUCCAUGAUCACACCUCUUAAUUCCUACUUUGCUCUUCUUAGAUUUGAACAUACUAAAAACAAAAAAGAAAGAUUUCUUCAGUCUGUUCUUACCCGCCAUUAUAACUCUACUUGCCUCUAAUCAAAACACUCUCUCUUUAAUGUAUGUUUAAUUUAAUAAUGAA